rnacentral:rRNA from 1 species
AGUGAACGCUGGCGGCAGGCCUAAUACAUGCAAGUCGAACGGCAGCACAGCAGAGCUUGCUCUGUGGGUGGCGAGUGGCGGACGGGUGAGGAAUACAUGGGAAUCUGCCCAGUCGUGGGGGAUAACGUAUGGAAACGUACGCUAAUACCGCAUGCGCCCUACGGGGGAAAGUCGGGGACCGCAAGGCCUGGCGCGAUUGGAUGAGCCCAUGUUCGAUUAGCUAGUUGGCGGGGUAAAGGCCCACCAAGGCGACGAUCGAUAGCUGGUCUGAGAGGAUGAUCAGCCACACUGGAACUGAGACACGGUCCAGACUCCUACGGGAGGCAGCAGUAGGGAAUAUUGGACAAUGGGGGCAACCCUGAUCCAGCCAUGCCGCGUGUGUGAAGAAGGCCCUCGGGUUGUAAAGCACUUUAAGCGGGGAGGAAGGCCUGAUGGUUAAUACCCAUUGGGAUUGACGUUACCCGCAGAAUAAGCA